rnacentral:rRNA from 1 species
UACGUAGGGGGCAAGCGUUGUCCGGAUUUAUUGGGCGUAAAGAGCGUGUAGGCGGCCUGGAAGGUCAGCUGUGAAAACUCGAGGCUCAACCUCGAGACGUCGGUUGAAACCACCUGGCUAGAGUCCGGAAGAGGAGAGUGGAAUUCCACGUGUAGCAGUGAAAUGCGUAGAGAUCGGGAGGAACACCAGUGGCGAAGGCGGCCUUCUGGACCAGUACUGACGCUCAUGCACGAAAGCGUGGGGAGCAAACAGG